GACGUAGGGUGCGAGCGUUGUCCGGAUUUAUUGGGCGUAAAGAGCGUGUAGGCGGCUAGGUAGGUCCGUUGUGAAAACUCGAGGCUUAACCUCGAGAUGUCAUCGGAAACCAUUUGGCUAGAGUCCGGAAGAGGAGAGUGGAAUUCCUGGUGUAGCGGUGAAAUGCGCAGAUAUCAGGAAGAACACCAAUGGCGAAAGCAGCUCUCUGGGACGGUACUGACGCUGAGACGCGAAAGCGUGGGGAGCGAACAGG
rnacentral:rRNA from 1 species